rnacentral:rRNA from 1 species
UACGUAGGGGGCAAGCGUUGUCCGGAAUUAUUGGGCGUAAAGAGCGUGUAGGCGGCCAGGUAGGUCUGCUGUGAAAACUCGAGGCUCAACCUCGAGACGUCGGCGGAAACCAUCUGGCUAGAGUCCGGAAGAGGAGAGUGGAAUUCCUGGUGUAGCGGUGAAAUGCGCAGAUAUCAGGAAGAACACCCGUGGCGAAGGCGGCUCUCUGGAACGCAACUGACGCUGAGGCGCGAAAGCCAGGGGAGCGAACGGG